UACGAAGGGGGCUAGCGUUGCUCGGAAUUACUGGGCGUAAAGGGCUCGUAGGCGGCCAACUAAGUCGGAUGUGAAAUCCCCAGGCUUAACCUGGGAACUGCAUCCGAUACUGGAUGGCUUGAAUUCGGGAGAGGGAUGCAGAAUUCCAGGUGUAGCGGUGAAAUGCGUAGAUAUCUGGAGGAAUACCGGUGGCGAAGGCGGCAUCCUGGACCGAGAUUGACGCUGAUGAGCGAAAGCUAGGGGAGCAAACGGG
rnacentral:rRNA from 1 species